UACAGGGGGUGCAAGCGUUGUUCGGAAUUACUGGGCGUAAAGGGUUCGUAGGUGGCCACUUAAGUCAGACGUGAAAUCCCUCAGCUUAACUGGGGAACUGCGUCUGAUACUGGGUGGCUUGAGUGCAGGAGAGGAAUGCGGAAUUCCAGGUGUAGCGGUGAAAUGCGUAGAUAUCUGGAGGAACACCGGUGGCGAAGGCGGCAUUCUGGACUGUAACUGACACUGAGGAACGAAAGCCAGGGGAGCAAACGGG
rnacentral:rRNA from 1 species